UCUUUGUGACAUUUAAAGACUGAAAGGACAUGAAGAGUGUGAGAUGAGUAGAAGAAAUCUGAGACCCUGAAUAUCGAGACCACCGUCCAUUUUGUAACUCGCUUAUCUAAUUCAGGGUCACAGGGGGCUGUCAAUGUGGGAGGGGGCAACACGGUUAAGAACCAACCUACGACACCAGAGCUGAAGGCCGGACCACCAAUCACUGUGCUACUACGAGACCACCAGUCAGACAAACAUGAAUUCCUAUCUAGUGUUAUAUACUUCUAUUGUUAAACGUGGACUGAAAUACACAACACUGUAAGUCUGUGAGAAGUUCAUCAACACUGAGAUGAGUUUGUGAUGAAAUGAAAUAAAACAGAAAUGAAAAUAAAGAAAAAAUAAAUCAUCGACAUCAGUGAGGUGUCCUCUGUAAUAAAAUGGCUUCUCGUGAACUUCUUUGAGGGUCCACCUCACAAUCUGAAACUCAGCGUCAUUUCAGUGACACACACAGGUGGUCUGCUGCAGUGCUGGAGUCGGAGUGUGAUACAGAAAUGACAAUAAUAAGUUUAAUUCAUGAACAGAGUGCUAGACGUGAUGAAAAGAACUGAAGAAAAAGAAUUAAAAAAUGGACGACUUCACAGAAAUCAAAAUUCAGAAUUGUGUGUGAAUGGCACCCUCUUGUGGCUAUUAAGUGUAAUUAAAAUAAUUAAAAAUGGACCAAGCAAAAUGACACCUUUUACUGGCUAACUAAAAAGAUUACAAUAUGCAAGCUUUCGAGGCAACUCAGGCCCCAUCUUACCUGAAGAAGGGUCCUGAGUUGCCUCGAAAGCUUGCAUAUUGUAAUCUUUUUAGUUAGCCAGUAAAAGGUGUCAUUUUGCUUGGCUUUUCUCUACAUUCAUAAUGGCUAACACGGUACAACACCCUAGUACUUACAAAUGGACCCAAAUUCAUUAAUCCUGUCCUCGUCUGAAUCAGUUUAUUUAUUGUGCAUUUGAGUGUAAAGGCUUAUGUGAGACUCAGAAAUGUCACUUUGUAAUUUAUAAAUGUACUCAAAUAGAGUCAGGCACAGAGCUGCAAGUGUGUUUGUCUGGUGUUACCAGUUACCAGGGGAUGUGCAACUGCGAGAACUGGGAGAAAAGUCAUGUGACACCAGGAGAACACACUAACUGCACAGAGACGCUGAGCAUGAUGGGAUUUGAAGUCUGGAGCUGUGAGGCACUGGGCCACUUGGGGGCUUAAUAAUAAUAGUAAUAAUAAUAAUAAUAAAGUUACAUUUGUUGAACAGAAGCCUCUACAAAUACACAUCAGCCUGCAGUAUGAAAGUUGACGUCACUGAUGGAGAUUUGCUGAGUGACUUUGCAGUUGUAGAUAAACUCGUGUCAUCAGCGUGAUCUUCAUGCUCUUCCUCUCACUAAUCACACUCACUGCUCUCGUCUUCACACAACACCACACACAUGUCAGGGUCUCACUGUUUGUAUCUUUGACUUUCUUUCAUGUUAAUGAAACUCUAAACAUGAUGUUUUAUGUUUGUCAAGCAGACAGGUCAGAGUUUCCUGUAAUCUGCACACUUGUCAGUAAACCUGAACUUGAAUGUUUGCUCAUCUUCUUCUUUCUUGGAGGAAUAUUUUGGAAGAAGAAGCCGUCAGGUUCAACAUGAAUGAAUAAAACCUUUGCUGUAUGUUGAAUUUUCACACCCAGAUAGUGAAAUACGUGACACAGAAAAUGAAGAGCAGCAGAACAAAGUGUGACAGGUGAGGUGUGACUUUGAGGAAGGCCACCCAGAUAUGUCAUUAGAUGGAACUUCAUGCUCUUGUUUGUGUAGAUGAAGAAAACUUGAAAAGUUAUAAAAGUAAUUUCAAUGACGUGUGUCUGAGGAAAUAUUGUAUUUUUAUCUUUAAAGUAUUAAAAGAUCAGAUUUAUGUGACUUUCAUGUUUAAAAAGCCUGAUAAACACAAAAGGAGAAUUGUUGGAUUUCAAAUUCCACUGUUAAUUCUGUUCAUGUCCACACAUUUCUUCAUUUAAACAUCAAUCCCACUGA